GCUCAGAGAUGAAGACAAACUGGGGACUUUGGGUUAGUUGGAUUGUUCUUUAUUUUGGUAUUUCUCUCUAAAAUAACAAAUGACAACAUUACCAAUAAUCAGUAACAUUAUAAAUCAUCAUGUCGAUGUUUGUUAACAGUUAAAAUAACUUUUAACUGAAGUUUAAUUUCCUGUUUAUCACUGCUGGUUGUUAUAAAGAGUUACUGCUCCUCUGAUCUCUGUUGUCAGUGUUUCUGGUUCUACAGGAUUCUUUCUGUCUCCUCCUCUUUCUCCUCCUCCUCCGCCUGAUGAAGCUGAAACAGGUUUGUUGUUUUGCUGUCCGAGACAAAGGUUUCAGUCGACACACACGAUAAGAUGUCUGGGUGUCCCAGAGGUCUUCCAGGUCCAGCUGCAGUGUGAGAAACCCUCCAAUCAGAGCAGUCCAGACCCAGACCCUGCUGAACCUGAACCCAGCUGUGUCCAUGAAGAGAAUGGAGACACCACUACUUUACUUUAAAACAUAAAAAAGAAGCCAGCCUGAAAUGGAGAGGCCAACUAAAAUGGAGGAGGGGAGAAAUAAAAUAGAGAGGCUACUUGAAAUGACGAAUAGAAGGGGGACCCAGCAGAGACCAGAACCUGAACCUGAACCCAGCUGUGUGUCCUUUAAGAGUGACCGGUCACAUGAUUGCCCCAUUGACUUUAAAGGAGACCAACCCUCUGCUGAAAAGAGAGUGGACCAGGAGAGCUCAGAACUUCCCAGU